rnacentral:rRNA from 1 species
GACGAACGCUGGCGGCGUGCUUAACACAUGCAAGUCGAACGAUGAACCCGGAGCUUGCUCCGGUGGAUUAGUGGCGAACGGGUGAGUAACACGUGAGUAACCUGCCCUUGACUCUGGGAUAACUGCGGGAAACUGUAGCUAAUACCGGAUACGACCCUCGGCGGCAUCGCCAGGGGGUGGAAAGAAUUUCGGUCAAGGAUGGACUCGCGGCCUAUCAGCUAGUUGGUGAGGUAACGGCUCACCAAGGCGACGACGGGUAGCCGGCCUGAGAGGGUGACCGGCCACACUGGGACUGAGAUACUGCCCAGACUCCUACGGGAGGCAGCAGUGGGGAAUAUUGCACAAUGGGCGCAAGCCUGAUGCAGCGACGCCGCGUGAGGAAUGACGGCCUUCGGGUUGUAAACCUCUUUCAGCACAGACGAAGCGCAAGUGACGGUAUGUGCAGAAGAAGGACCGGCCAACUACGUGCCAGCAGCCGCAGUAA